GCUUCCGGAGCAGCAUGGCGGCCACUGAGGAUGAGAGGCUAGCAGGGAGCGGUGAGGGAGAGCGGCUGGAUUUCUUACGGGAUCGGCACGUGCGAUUUUUCCAGCGCUGCCUCCAGGUUUUGCCGGAGCGCUAUUCUUCACUCGAGACAAGCAGGUUGACAAUUGCAUUUUUUGCACUCUCCGGGCUGGAUAUGUUGGAUUCCUUAGAUGUGGUGAACAAAGAUGAUAUAAUAGAGUGGAUUUAUUCCCUGCAGGUCCUUCCCACAGAAGACAGUGAGUGAGUUUUUAGCAUUUUAUUUUUAGUGUGACUGGUUGUACCUGACAUAACAUGUGUUGGACUAGAAAAUCUUAGUACUUGUAUACUGUUAACAUAUUUUAUUUAUCUGUGAUUUUGUUGUAAUGCAGCAUUGCCAUUCUGUUGAAAUACAGUACUUAACAAAUCUGAUCAUAAUCUCAAGAAAACAAUUUAGAGUUAUCUGGAAUUUAAUAGAGAUUCACAGUUGUGGCACCAUACUAUGUUGUAUACUUCCACUUUGAUGACUACUUGUUGAUUAUUUAUAGUCAGUAUUUAUGUUUGAU
rnacentral:lncRNA from 1 species